rnacentral:lncRNA from 1 species
UUUUACCAUAAAGUUUAAUUAUGGUUCAGAAAAAAAUGAACAAAUAACUUUCUCUGAAAAAAUAUAUUGACACUGUAUAGAUCACAGUUAUUAGUGGGGAGGGGCUGCCACCGUGCCUGGCCAAUUACCCUAUUUUCUAUUCUGAAAAUGAUAUUAAUAGAAAGUCCCAUUUCCAGUCUGAGUAUAAAGAUACAGGUGCCCCAAAUGGCUGAGAAUAAAUACAACAGGAAAUGCAAAAGCUGUAAAGCUAAGGGCAUGCAAGAGAAAAAUCUCAGAAAUACCCCAAGUGGCAACAAGGAAUGUUUGGCUGGAACUUGAAGUUCUUUCAGUCAUCUUCGUCUUUUGCUCCAUGUUUUAGGAUGCAUGUGAACUCAAUAUAAUUGAAAUUUCCCUUUUUGUCAAUAGGAUCUUCUCUAUACAGCUCAUCCACUUCCUCAUCCAUGAACCCAUCCCCCCAUGGUUGUCAGCAGCUCUCACAGGUAAUCUUCCUGAAUGGUGCCAGUUGCUUCUUCAUCAAAGCAAGCAAAAGCAUGUCUGAUGACAUCUUCAGGAUCUGUGCCAUUUAACUUCUCACCAAACAUGGUGAGGAACACGGUGAAACUGAUUGGGCCUGGAGCCUCAUUCAUCAUGGCAUCCAGAUACCAAUCAGUUGGACUCUUCCCGGAUGAAGCAAGCAUAUCCUGCAAAUCUUCCUUGUCGAUGAAACCAUCUCUGUUCUGAUCAAUCAUGUUGAAGGCCUCUUUGAACUCCUGAAUCUGUGACUGAUCAAACACAGCAAACAUAUUGGAUGUCGUGUGCUGAGGGCACUUCUUGGUGGUCUUGGUGUUUGCUCUUUUGCUUGACAUGGUGGUUAAAUCCCAGCACAGCUACGAGAAUCCAAGCACGUCAGCGAGCCCCUCGCUGCCGC